ACUCCUACGGGAGGCAGCAGUGGGGAAUAUUGGACAAUGGGGGCAACCCUGAUCCAGCAAUGCCGCGUGAGUGAUGAAGCCCUUCGGGGUGUAAAGCUCUUUCGACGGGAACGAUAAUGACGGUACCCGGAGAAGAAGCUGCGGCUAACUACGUGCCAGCAGCCGCGGUAAUACGUAGGCAGCAAGCGUUGUUCGGAAUUACUGGGCGUAAAGGGUGCGCAGGUGGCGGCGCGCGUGGGGGGUGAAAUCGCCCGGCUUAACUGGGCGGGGGCCUUCCAGACGGCGUGGCUUGAGCAGCGGAGGGGGACGUGGAAUUCCGGGUGGAGCGGUGAAAUGCGUAGAGAUCCGGAGGAACACCGACGGCGCAGGCAGCGUCCUGGCCGCUUGCUGACACUGAGGCACGAAAGCUGGGGGAGCAAACAGGAUUAGAUACCCUGGUAGUCCACGCCGUAAACGAUGAAUGCUAGACGCUGGUAGGUUUACCUAUCGGUGUCGCAGCUAACGCAUUAAGCAUUCCGCCUGGGGAGUACGGUCGCAAGAUUAAAACUUAAAGGAAUUGACG
rnacentral:rRNA from 1 species